GGAAUCAUGCCCGAGUGCACAAGGACCACUUUGAUAGAGUGAACUACGAGGGUUCGAAUCCCUCUGAUUCCU
rnacentral:tRNA from 1 species